GAGGGUAGUGAUUAUGAGGUUGGACCCCGGAGUUAGACAGUCUGGGUGCAAAUGCUGUAUGACCUUGGACAAAGCAUGGCACCCGAGUUUUCUCACCAACAAAAUGAGGGGAAAAAAGGAAAAUGAAGUCCUAUUAAUAUGUUUAUGAUAGGAAGAAUAAUUAGAAAAGUAGAAUAAAAAAACUGAAGCAUGGUGAAAUCACAGUGUGUGAAUAUAUGCAAAGGAUACUCAAAGGUCAAGAAAAGUUCAAGAAUUGUCUCUGCAUGAUAGGGAAAUGCAACUUGCUCUGCCCGACGCCUAGAGUCUCUGGCUGCAGGUCUGGUCCUGGCCCCCUAGGAGGACUUCCCGAGGUCUUAGAUGGAGAGUGGCAGGGACAACCAUGCUUAGGUUGAGGCCUAUGAAAGGAGUGUUUUCAGCAGCAGAGCCACCAAACUAACAAGUCACUGAAUUUUAAAACUCUGGCCACGUGGCUUAGAGGACUCUGGGCAUUGCCCCUUUGCUACCAGCUCCAAAGAUCUGGGAAGAUCUCAUUUGGAUUAGUGACCACGGUUUGUGGGAAUCUUCGCAACCCAAAAAAGGCUGUUUAAAACAGGGGAAACACUGAGCUCUGGAAAUGGUUUAUUUGGCCAUCAGAAUUUUUUUUUUUUUUAAUGACCACCAUUUAAAAAUUCUUUUCAUAAAGUCCCAAAUUUUGGGGUUCCCUGGUGGUCUAGGGGUUAGGAUUUUGCACUUUUCAUUGCUGUGACCCAGGUUCAGUCCCUGGUCUGGAAACUUCCACAAGACAUGGGCAUGGCCACAAUUUUAAAAAAUAAAGUAGGGAGUUCCCAUUGUAGCUCAGUGGGAUAAGAAGUGACUAGUAUUCAUGAGGAUGUGGGUUGGGUCCCUGGCCUCGCUCAGUGGGUUGCUGUGAGCUGUGGUGUAGGUCACAGACAAGACUCGGAUCUUGCAUUGCUAUGGCCGUGGUGUAGGCUGCCAGCUGCAGCUCCAAUUUGACCCCUAGCCGAGGAACUUCCAUUUGCCCAGGUGUGGCCCUUAAAAAAAAUAAUAAUAAUAAAUUAAAUUAAAUUAAAAUCCCAAGUUUUUUUCAUUUUCCCGAAAAAUUUAGACUAUGACAACCCCAAAACCCUCAUUCUGACAAAACAAUACUGGACCGGGUCCCCAGGAGCGU
rnacentral:lncRNA from 1 species